rnacentral:tRNA from 2 species
CUGGGUGUGGCGCAGUUGGUAGCGCGCUACCUUGGGGUGGUAGAGGCCGCUGGUUCAAAUCCAGUCACUCAGACCA